GUCAUAGUCAACACUAUAACUUUGACUAAAUUUUUUGGCAAUCAAGUAGAAUUAAUAGGUCUCCACCUUUCCAUCUAUGCCUCUUAUCCAUCUAAAAUCCAAUCACAUCUUAUGGGUCUUCUCCCUUCAGGUGAACCAACGAAUAUCCAUACGCCAUUGAUCUUUAUAGACUUUAUUUCAGAUUUAAUGGUUCCAAGCCACUUCUCAAUGUUAGAUCCCUGUAUUGCAUCCGUAUGGG
rnacentral:lncRNA from 1 species